rnacentral:rRNA from 1 species
UACAGAGGUCUCAAGCGUUGUUCGGAUUCAUUGGGCGUAAAGGGUGUGUAGGUGGCGCGCUAAGUCGGGUGUGAAAUUUCGGAGCUUAACUCCGAAACUGCAUUCGAUACUGGCGUGCUUGAGGACUGGAGAGGAGACUGGAAUUCAUGGUGUAGCAGUGAAAUGCGUAGAGAUCAUGAGGAAGACCAGUGGCGAAGGCGGGUCUCUGGACAGUUCCUGACACUGAGACGAGAAGCCAGGGGAGCAAACGGG